UUCCCUGUGGCUCAGUUGGUAGAGCAUGUUGUUUGCAACACCAGGGUUGUGGGUUUGAUUCCCACCGGGGACC
rfam:Salmo salar isolate Sally breed double haploid chromosome ssa07, whole genome shotgun sequence.